rnacentral:ncRNA from 1 species
CUGUGAUGUGUGUCACAUAAAAAUAAAGAUAUUUACAGGAGCAACCCAUGAAACUGAUCAAUAAAGUUAUCGCAAUGUUCGAAAAAAUGAGUGUCUCAUUCGGCACCAUCAACGGCUAAUGACUUCAUUAUUAGCUAGAAAAUUUUCAUAAUAUUCUGAUCUAAAUUAGUUUACAGGUAAUGGCGCUGCAUCCAUAGCAAGCAGGCCAGAAAGCGAAAGCAGAAUAUGCAAUGACCUGUUUACCCGAUUUGUUAUUAUUAAAAGAUAUUUAAUCUUUUGAUUUUGCUUAAUCCAGAAUGUUUGCUCUA